ensembl:lncRNA
GACUUGGUAGACUGAGGAAGAAGGAGCAGAAGUCGAAGCCCUCUGUGACAUGCAAGUUCGAUGCCAACUUGGGCCACACACACAUUGGUCUCAAUGAACAAACCAUGAGCAGACAGCAUCUCCAGAAGGCUCACACAGGAAGAGACUCCAUACCAGAACAUACGGGAGGGAGGAGCAGGAAGUCCCUGAUUCGAAGGAUGCUCUGAGCCCAGCCUCCUUCUCCAUCCCUUCCUCCACCCGCUCCCUCAACUUCAGGACCUAUGACUGGAGACAGAGACCGUGCUCCAGACUUUGCAAUCAGAGAUGUUUUCACCCAAAGCCAGGGGUCAGAUCUCCAAAACGAGCCCUACAAUCAGCCUUCCAGAGUUGGCCUGGAGUGCUCACCCUUCGCUCGCCUCGUUAGAAGAAUCCCAUGCACACGCUGAAGCCAGCUGAGAAUCCCUGCUAAGCUUUCGGGCAGCUGGGAGAAGCAAAGUUGGAUCCCUGCCUAAAUCCCUGGGAGAGCCCACGCUCUGUUGCCAGCACCUUGACUGGAACAUCAAUAUUGGACAUCUGGCCUCGGACCUAGGAAAGAACCAAUCUACACGAGCCAGUAUUGUCGCCAGCGUGUGAACAAAGAGAGCCGACUCCUGGGUAGAGCAGCACACUCCAAGGCAUAGGCAUGGGACAGAGCCAGGUAUGGACCACAUCCAUGUCACCUUCUAAAAAUGCCUUACUGGCUCCAACGAACCGACACAUGGCUCGUUAGCCUUCAAGAAGAAUCUAGAAAUGCUGCCCCAGUAACAUUCAGCAAGCAGAGGGAGCUCUCGGCCUGUCCAUCGACAGUGACACUGUCACCAUGGCGGCCCUCUACCCUCCAUCCUCUUCAGCAUUGAAGCUGUUACGGCUUUAAUGUAAGACAUCUCAGGUCCACGCGAUGGGACAGUCUCCACCUUGUGGCACUGCUUUGGGAGGUUGUGAACCGUGACAUGAUGGGGUCUGGCCGGAGGAUGUGGGUCACUAAAUAAACAGGCUUUGAGGUUUAACUAGUGGCUCCAAGUCAACUCCUCUGCCCUUGAUUUGCUGAGGUGUGAGCAAGCUCUUCCUGCCACAGAGCUGCCUGCCACCGCGACGCCUCCACCAUGUCUCCUAAAACAAGAUAAGCCUCUUCUAAACUGCUUCAAAGCCCUUGACAACUGCACCAGGCAAAAGAGCUAUGUAAGGAAAAGCCGUAGCUGGCCUUCCCUAAGGCAUCUCUCAUUUCACUGUAACCCCAGAACUGCUGCUAGCAUCCCGAAGUGUGCAUUAUGUGCCUACCCCGGUGGUGCUCCUGACAAGCUGCUACUAGAAACCAGACAUGGAGGAUUAUGGGUAAUGGAGGUUCUCAAUGAACACAUCACUCACCAUUCAAGUCUGAAAUACACCUCCACCUCCACACUUCACUAUAAUACCAACCCAAUUAAUAACGAUCGGUGGGAAUUAUGAAACAUCUGUUGAACAUACUGGUGUGGAGACCAGGAUUCUACUCAGGAAAGGAUGCAGUGACAGCUACCAGAAGGGCACAGUACCCUGUGAAAUAAUCACCGAAGACUUGAAAUGAUACUCAACUUGUGAUGCCUGAUCACGAGGGACAUGCAAAUCAAGCCACAAUGUGAUAUCAUUCCAGUCACUCAGACGGCCAUCAUCAGAGCACAGGGGGCG